UACGUAGGGUGCGAGCGUUGUCCGGAAUUAUUGGGCGUAAAGAGCUUGUAGGCGGUUUGUCGCGUCUGCUGUGAAGAUCCGGGGCUCAACCCCGGACUUGCAGUGGGUACGGGCAGACUAGAGUGUGGUAGGGGAGACUGGAAUUCCUGGUGUAGCGGUGGAAUGCGCAGAUAUCAGGAGGAACACCGAUGGCGAAGGCAGGUCUCUGGGCCACUACUGACGCUGAGAAGCGAAAGCAUGGGGGGCGAACAGG
rnacentral:rRNA from 1 species